UACGUAGGUGGCAAGCGUUGUCCGGAUUUACUGGGCGUAAAGGGCGUGCAGGCGGUUUUGUUAAGUGCAGGGUGAAAGCUCCCGGCUCAACUGGGAGAGGUCCUUGCAUACUGGCAAACUCGAGGGAGGCAGAGGAAAGUGGAAUUCCCGGUGUAGUGGUGAUAUGCGUAGAUAUCAGGAGGAACACCUGUGGCGAAAGCGGCUCACUGGACCACAACUGACGCUGAUGCACGAAAGCUAGGGGAGCAAACAGG
rnacentral:rRNA from 1 species